UAUUUAUUAAUUGAUUGUUCUUACAUUUUGCAGAGGACGUCGUCUGAAUUGGGAAAAUGGAUUGAAAUAUCUAAGGGAGACAAGAAGACCCAUGUUAUUCGUCGUCGCCUCAUUAAGCAUCAUGCCAUUGAAAGGAUAUCCAAUCCAUGAAUGAGUAUAAAUGUGCAAUGGAUUGAUAAAAGCUUAAUACUGAAAAGGGCCCAUUUUAGAGACCUUAUGGUGCUCAGGCAAAUGGCCAAAUGCCCAGUGAUGUAACUGUUGGAGGUAGAGACGUUGCCUUCAACACCUUAUCCGUUAAACUGAAACAUGUUCCCAUGCUAUCUUUGUUGAUAUUGCCCAGUGUCAUUUGAUGAAGUGAGGACUAGAACUUGCCUCUAGCUUUUUUACUAUGAAUAGCUGAUGAGUGGAAAGGAGGAUGCUGGCAACAAUUUUACCCAUGGUUAUUAUACCAUUGGUAAGGAGAUUGUUGACUUCUGAUUGGACUGUAUCCACAAGCUUGCUGAUGACUGGAAUAUACUGGACUCCGUGGUUUCCUUUUCUUCAAUGUUGCAAGUGGAGCACUUGUUCUGGUCUUGGAUCCCUCCUUUUAGAGUCUCUCUAUUGAUGACAGAAAGCAAUCCAAUUUGCGUUUCACCAUGUCCUCACAUCUCAACCUCAGUUGUUGAGCCCUAUCACCGCGUCCUAUUAACCCAGUAUCUCCUGGAGCAACUGAUGUCGUUCUCCUUCACAAUGAAGCCAUGUACAACAUUUGCAGGCGCUCACUUGACAUUGAGCAUCCAACUUACACCAACCUUAACUGUCUCAUAUCUUAGGUAAAUUAUUGGCUUAUUGCGGAUUCAGCAGUUGCAUAUAUUCUGAUGAAGAUAACAGUUUGUUAAUUACUUAUUUUAUUUUCUGCAAUUCGAAUUUUCUAUGAUUUCUAUUGUCAAUUCAGUUCAACUUCUUCGCCUUUUGGAAUUAGUCCCGCGUUUACAGUUUUGUUUUAUCCUAAGUUUUAGGUGCUUCUCAAUUUUGAAAUGAA